AAGAUGGGGCCACUUGCCAUACCUCGAAUGACUCCAUGGAAGUUGUGAAUGAAUUAUUCCCUAAUAAAGUCAUUUCGCGAAGGGGUAACAUCAACUGGCCUCCCAGAAGCCCCGACCUUAGCCCGCUUGACUAUUUUGUGUGGGGACACCUUAAAAGUAAGGUUUAUCAAAAUAAUCCAACGAAUCUAACCCAAUUGAAGGAAAACAUCAGGUCAGAAAUGGCAGCAAUAUCAAGAGCUUUGUGUCGACGUGUCAUCGCCAAUCUUCGUUCCCGUUUAGAAGAGUGCCAGCAACGUAACGGUCAUCAUUUGGAUAACAUCUUUUCCAAAUAAUUUUCCAAUUCAUGUGGUACCAAAAAACAAAAGUGUUUAUUGCUUAUAAAUAUUUUUUGUUUACUUGAACUUACAAAUACCCGAUACCCUUUCUGGACACCUUGUAUAAUGGUAGCCUUACUGUUCCGUGCGAUAGGGAGUGUCACUUAUAUUAAGUGAGACUAACAACUAAUAAGUAAACAACGUAAUAAACAUGAAGAAUUUCCUAAUAGACACGAUAUCAAAUACAAAAUUUUCUGGAUUUAUACAAAAUGAUCGAUACUACCAAGUAAAAAAAAUAUGAACAUAAAAUUCUGUUCAAAACGAUCACAAAUAAAACUGUUAAAUUUCACUAUAAUUAUACAUGGAUACUAUUGGAUAUCGACUUCAAAGAAAUUCAGUUGGGAAUUUUCUGUUCCAAUUAAUAUUCAUUACUAACAAAUAAUAGUUAUUUUUGUUAGUUAAACGGAACUGUUUACAUAGCAUUUUUUCUAACCGAUUAAAUCGAAGAUUUCAAUUGAAUUAUUAUAUUUCCAAUAUUCUUCCCUCUAAGUUAAUACAAGCAAUUGGAAAAUGUGUCCAGUUCAACUUAGAAAGGAAUUAUCGCAAACAUCAUAUCCCAAACUGAUUUGGGAAUGCCUGGACUAUUCUAACGAGCUAGUUAAGAAGAAUAAGUAGUCUCCAAUGAAUGCCAGGCCACACCGGAUUGAGGGGAAACGAAAUAGCUAAUACCUGAACUCUUUUGCGGUAUUUAUAGAAUAAUAGAGAAGACAAUAGAAAAAAAGAUAGUUAGGGGUAAAACUGGAAUAAUCUAAAUGGUUGGGAAGCUAUAAACAAGGAAAAUCUAUUGAAUGCAUCAACCUAGGCAAUAACAAUCUACGAAUACUAACACCUGGAAGUGUGAGAAAUAGAAGACGAAGAUCUCUGUUAGCUAGAGCCAUCCCAUACAAGGAUUCCCAGCGCCACAACAAAAAAGGGGACACAUUAUAUCCUUUGGGUUGCAGUGUACAUGUCACCUUGAAUUACGUCCAUAGAUAAAUAUACUUGUAAUUUUAACAUAAUUGACCAAAACAAAAUUUUUUAAGAAUAAAUUUAAUUAAAAAUCAAAUAGAUAAUAAAUUCGAUACAUAACUGAAACACAAGGUUUACUUUUCACUAUAUUGAUCAAAACUCUAACAUUUAUAUAUCAAUAUAAAUAAAUAAAAAGAAAUAACUUUAAAAACUUGUAUUUAUAUUCAGUUUGCAGAGGACAAGUACAUAUUCGAAGUAACUAAAAACUUAAAUUCAAAAGAUUUUUCCCCAGUUUAUUAUUAGGUUUAUGAAAAAUUGAUUUAAUCUGAAAUAGGUAGAAAUGUCAAAUAAUUGACAAAUUAAACAGUACCUCUCAUCGAUUAUGUUUUCAUUCUUUUGUCUUGUAAACCAUUUGCAUCUUUCCGAAAUUAAUUGUGUCACAUCUGUGCUCACUUUGGUUGUUGAUGACAUAAAAUAAAACUUCCAGAACCAGUUUUAUACUUGUAAUUAUGUCAUUUCCACAAUUCUUGAUUUCUAGAGUUUAUUUAAAUAUUUCAAUUAAAAAAAUAACUUUUGUUUUGAUGCAGUGUUUUACACAUAUUUUACUUAAUUGCUGCUAAAGCAUCAUCCAUUGAAAUAAGUAGCAAUAUCUAAUAGUACAAAGGUUACCAAGCAUACCAAAAAUUCUACCCUUUAAUAUUCUGAAAAAAGAAGAGCUAAAAUGCCAUAUGGAGUAAAAGCAAUCAAUCUAAUGAAUAACUUCGAAAGAAAAAUAAUAAGAUUAUAUGGACCAAAGAAGUUGAAUGAUGUAUAAUCCUUAUUGAAGGAUACUGGGACACUUAAAAUGAAUUAGAAAUUAUGAUAAGGUUGAAAAAAUAAUGGGAUUGAAUCACUUAAUUAACCAACCAAAAAGCAAAUUGGAUAGUCAAGUAAUAAUGGUCUAAACCUUUAUGGAAAUAUGCCAAUGAUGGAAUAAUAACCAUGACAAACAAAAAAGUAAAAUAUGCUAAGAAAUUCAUUUGAUAAAACAAAAAACUGAUUAGAACAUGAACUAACUAGCCUUAUGAUGAGUUUUAGAGAUCUUGGGUGAUUAGAACGUGGGUUGACUCACCUCAUGAUGAUCCUAAGAGCUCUUGAGUGACUACCCCCACAUAUAAAUGUAAAACUGAUUAUGGAAAUUGUAAAUUCAAUUAGUAAUAUUUGAACAACAUGGUAGUGUACAAAUGGGGGAAUGGUAACCAGUAUAGAGAAAAUCCAAAAUGUGCAACUGAUAUUUAUGUGACACAAUUAGUUUUCCCAAUUUUCUCAUUGAUACAUCGAAAUCAUUGCUGCAAACCAUUAAUCAUAAGACACAAUCACGAAUUCAUCCAAAAUUAUCAGAUAAAGAGGUGGAGGAAUUAUGUUUUGAGUUACAUGGUACAGAUAGAACAGAAAUAUUAAUUGUUCAUUUUCUUGGAUAAAAUAUUUGAUACCAUUACCAUUACCUUAACAAUAUUAGAAGUACAGUAUAUAAAACAUUGAGUAAAUAUUUCUAAUAUUUUUGAUUCUCUAUUGUAUACCCAUGACAACCCUUUAAAAUACUAAUUAUUGUUUUGUGUAGCAGUAAUGUAGUAAUUGUGAAAUUAUGAAUAUAUUUAUGUUCGUGAAUAUAAUUAGCGUCUAUACUCAUUGACGUAUAUAAAUAUUUAUAUAACUUGAAUCCUUAUACAAAUUGUAUAUUUAGAACAAAUAAUUUUUUUUUAAUAAAAUCUACCCCUUUAAAAAUAAAUGUAAGCACCACUGGUAAAUUCAUUAACUAAAAAAAUACAAUGACGAUAGCAUAUUUUGUUCACUGUUGAUUCAUUCUUUUAUGGCUAAAACAAAAAUAAAUUUUAAGAUAAGACUUUUGCUUUUUUCCGCUCACAUAUUGCUAAAUGUAUUUAUAUAUAGCAGUUUCAAUCAAUAUAUAAAUGCGGGAAUAUGAAAUGGUGAUGUAAUUAUUUACAUAAAUAAAGUAAAUGCGCAAAUACAAA